GCCCCCGUAGCUCAGAAUGGAUAGAGCAGCGGUUUCCUAAACCGUUGGUCGGCAGUUCGACUCUGCCCGGGGGUA
rnacentral:tRNA from 1 species